UACGUAGGGGGCUAGCGUUGUCCGGAAUUAUUGGGCGUAAAGAGCUCGUAGGCGGUUUGUCACGUCGGAUGUGAAACCCCGGGGCUCAACCCCGGGCCUGCAUUCGAUACGGGCAGACUAGAGUUCGGCAGGGGAGACUGGAAUUCCUGGUGUAGCGGUGAAAUGCGCAGAUAUCAGGAGGAACACCGGUGGCGAAGGCGGGUCUCUGGGCCGAUACUGACGCUGAGGAGCGAAAGCGUGGGGAGCAAACAGG
rnacentral:rRNA from 1 species